GAUGAACGCUGGCGGCGUGCCUAAUACAUGCAAGUCGAGCGAACGGACGAGAAGCUUGCUUCUCUGAUGUUAGCGGCGGACGGGUGAGUAACACGUGGAUAACCUACCUAUAAGACUGGGAUAACUUCGGGAAACCGGAGCUAAUACCGGAUAAUAUUUUGAACCGCAUGGUUCAAAAGUGAAAGACGGUCUUGCUGUCACUUAUAGAUGGAUCCGCGCUGCAUUAGCUAGUUGGUAAGGUAACGGCUUACCAAGGCAACGAUGCAUAGCCGACCUGAGAGGGUGAUCGGCCACACUGGAACUGAGACACGGUCCAGACUCCUACGGGAGGCAGCAGUAGGGAAUCUUCCGCAAUGGGCGAAAGCCUGACGGAGCAACGCCGCGUGAGUGAUGAAGGUCUUCGGAUCGUAAAACUCUGUUAUUAGGGAAGAACAUAUGUGUAAGUAACUGUGCACAUCUUGACCGGACCUAAUCAGAAAGCCCCGGCUAACUACGUGCCAGCAGCCGCGGUUAAACCUAAGUGGCAAGCGUUAUCCCGAAUUUUUGGGCGUAAAGCGCGCGUAGCGGUUUUUUAAGUCUGAUGUGAAAGCCCACGGCUCAACCGUGGAGGGUCAUUGGAAACUGGAAAACUUGAGUGCAGAAGAGGAAAGUGGAAUUCCAUGUGUAGCGGUGAAAUGCGCAGAGAUAUGGAGGAACACCAGUGGCGAAGGCGACUUUCUGGUCUGUAACUGACGCUGAUGUGCGAAAGCGUGGGGAUCAAACAGGAUUAGAUACCCUGGUAGUCCACGCCGUAAACGAUGAGUGCUAAGUGUUAGGGGGUUUCCGCCCCUUAGUGCUGCAGCUAACGCAUUAAGCACUCCGCCUGGGGAGUACGACCGCAAGGUUGAAACUCAAAGGAAUUGACGGGGACCCGCACAAGCGGCGGAGCAUGUGGUUUAAUUCGAAGCAACGCGAAGAACCUUACCAAAUCUUGACAUCCUUUGACAACUCUAGAGAUAGAGCUUUCCCCUUCGGGGGACAAAGUGACAGGUGGUGCAUGGUUGUCGUCAGCUCGUGUCGUGAGAUGUUGGGUUAAGUCCCGCAACGAGCGCAACCCUUAAGCUUAGUUGCCAUCAUUAAGUUGGGCACUCUAAGUUGACUGCCGGUGACAAACCGGAGGAAGGUGGGGAUGACGUCAAAUCAUCAUGCCCCUUAUGAUUUGGGCUACACACGUGCUACAAUGGACAAUACAAAGGGCAGCGAAACCGCGAGGUCAAGCAAAUCCCAUAAAGUUGUUCUCAGUUCGGAUUGUAGUCUGCAACUCGACUACAUGAAGCUGGAAUCGCUAGUAAUCGUAGAUCAGCAUGCUACGGUGAAUACGUUCCCGGGUCU
rnacentral:rRNA from 1 species